UAGAGAUAGCAAUCAAAUGUUUUAUUUGAACUUCGAAAUUUUUAAGCAAAAGCUAAAUGGAGAUGUCAAUAUCAAUAAUAUACUGGGAGAACGCCCACAACUAAAUUCUGAACACUCUUACUAAAAUCCAAAUUGCAAGAAAUAAAAAUCAGGUAACCAAUUUUAAAAUGUUCAAACUCAACACAUACAAAAAUAAAAUAAUGAUGUAUCAUAGUUUAUUAAAUUGCUGAACAUUUUUACACAACCUCCGCCUCCCAGGUUCAAGCGAUUCUCCUGCCUCAGCCUCCUGAGUAGCUGGGACUACAGGCGGGUGCAACCACGACUGGAUAAUUUUUGUAUUUUUAGUGGAGACAGGUUUUACAAACUUUAUCACGGAGAAAAGUUUGUCGCCAGAUGUAUUGGAGUUCCACUGUGUGUUAUUUGUUUGUUUUCUCUUGUUGCUUUUAGGAUCCUUGACUUUUGAGAAUUUUAUUAUUAGAUGCCUUGAGGUAGUCUUCUUUGGGUUAAAUCUGCGUGGUGUUCUAUAACCUGAGGUACCAACUUGAUCAUGGAUAAGAUCUGGAAGAAUUCUCUGGAUUACCAGGCAGUGACUCUUGUUCUUUUCCCUUACUUUCUCCCAAACAAAUGGAGUCUCUCUCUCUCUCUAUUGCUCUCUCUCUCUCUCUCUCUCUCUCUCUCUCUCUCUCUGUGUGUGUGUGUGUGUGUGUGUGUGUGUGUGCUGAGCCACCUGGAACUGGGGCUGGGGUGACACAAGCACCCUUGUGUUCAUCACCACUAGGACUGUGCUGAUUCAGACCUGAAGCCAGCACAACACUGUGUCUCACCCAAGGCCUUUUAUAACCACUACCUGGCUACCUCCUAUGCUCACUCAAGGUCCUAGGGCUCUGCAAUCAGCAGGUGGUAAAUCUAUCUAGGUCCCUUCUUUCAGAACAGCAAGUCCUUUCAGGCCCUCAUGGGUCCAGAGAUGCUAUUUGGGAGCCAGGAUUUAAGUCAAAAACCUAACAAAUUUGCCUGAUGUUCUAUUCUAUUGAGGCUAAGCUGGUACUCAUACCACAAUACGAAGUCCUUCCUGCUCUUCCCUCCCCAUUCCACAGGCAGAGGAGCCUCUCUUCAUGGCCUCCUUCAUCAUUGGCCCACAGGGGUUUUCUGCCAGGCCACCUUUGAUGUCCACUUAAAGCCCAAGCUCUCUUAAGUCAGUUUGUGCUGAAAGCCCCCUGGCCUGGGACUCGCCCUUCAGGGUAGAAGGCUCCCCUCUGGCCCAGGGCAGGUCCAAAAAUGCCAUCCAAGAAUCGAGUCCUAGAAUCAGGGACCCCCUAGACCUGGCUUGGUGCUCUGCCCACCUAUGGUCAGGCUGGUACUUAAGUGCAAAACAAAGUCCCCUUUGCUUUUCCUUCUGCUUUUCUCAAGCAGAAGGAGUUUUACCCCAUAACCACUACAUCUCGUAAUCUGCUGAGUCUCACCUGAAGCUAACAAGUCUCAGAGGAUCAGCCAAGAUCCUUGAUGACCUGGGUAUCACAGUUGGUUAUCCAUGGCCCAAGGGCUCUUUAGUAAGCAGAUAAUCAAUGCUGCCAAGGCUGUGUUCUCCCCUUCAUGGCAGCAGGUUCCCUUCUGGCAAACAGUGUGUCUAAAAACGUUAUCCAGGAGCUAGGGCCUGGAAUAAGGGGGCCUCAUGACUCUGCUCAGUGCCCUAUUAUACUGUGGCUGAGAUGGUAUCCAAGGUAUAAGACAAAGUGUUCUUUAUUCUUUGCUCUCCUCCCACUAAGCAGAAUGAAGCAGUCACUUUUGUUGCUGUGAACUGCACUGCCUAGGGUUGGGGGAGGGGUAGCACAAGCACUCCCUUAGCCACUCUGGCUGAUGUUUCCCUAGAUCACAUGCUACUCUGGUCCUCUGGCUCUGAGCCUAGCCCAGCACGAGGAGUUGCCUAGGAAUUGCAGUCCUUCUGUUCUAAACUUCAUUGAAAGUUUACCUAGGACACCACAGCACUUUGGCCCAUGGUGGCGAGUCUUGCUGAGAAACUC
rnacentral:lncRNA from 10 species